GCGCGAAAACUUUACAAUGCGGGAAACCGCGAUAAGGGGACACCGAGUGCCAGCAUCCUAUGUUGGCUGUCCAUAUGUAUAAAUAACAUGUGUUAGCAAGGGCCGGGCAAGACCGGUGCCAGCCGCCGCGGUAACACCGGCGGCCCGAGUGGUGGCCACUAUUAUUGGGUCUAAAGGGUCCGUAGCCGGUUUGGUCAGUCUUCCGGGAAAUCUGACGGCUUAACCGUUAGGCUUUCGGGGGAUACUGCCAGGCUUGGGACCGGGAGAGGUAAGAGGUACUACGGGGGUAGGAGUGAAAUCUUGUAAUCCCUGUGGGACCACCAGUGGCGAAGGCGUCUUACCAGAACGGGUCCGACGGUGAGGGACGAAAGCUGGGGGCACGAACCGGAUUAGAUACCCGGGUAGUCCCAGCCGUAAACUAUGCUCGCUAGGUGUCAGGGACGGUGCGACCGUUUCUGGUGCCGUAGGGAAGCCGUGAAGCGAGCCACCUGGGAAGUACGGUCGCAAGGCUGAAACUUAAAGGAAUUGGCGGGGGAGCACUACAACGGGUGGAGCCUGCGGUUUAAUUGGACUCG
rnacentral:rRNA from 1 species